CACUUACAUACAACCACUUGGAACAAACAAUGUCAUGCACAUGUAAAAAAUUUAAGUUCGAUGGAAUCCUUUGUUCGCAUGCAUUGCAGUUGUUCUGCCACUUAGAGUUCAAAAGUUUACCUCCUGAAUACUAUUUGAAAAGAUGGACACGGGCAGCUACAUAUGAAGUUAUUUGUGAUCCCAUGGGAGAGAUAAUUCCAAAUGACAACGAUCCAAUGCUAACAGCUCAUUAUAGUGAGUUAUCACAUAUUUCACAAAGAAUUGUGUCCAAGGGUUCAAGGUGUAUUGAUGUUUUUUCAUUAAGCAAAUCACUAUUGGUAGAAGUAGAAGCAAAGAUUGACACCUUUAUAGCCUCCGAUGAAGAUGUGAACAAGAGUAUUCGAAUCGACACACAUCAUAAAUCGGUAUCAAACAUGCAGCAGGAGGCACAAUUAAGAGAGCCAACAAAAAGACGCUUGAAAGGCCAAUCUAGCAAAAGAAUUAAAGGUCCAUUGGAAAGCAAAUCACGAAAGAAUAAUUCACCAAAAGUAAUGGGUCAGUUGCUAACCAAACCUACUUGUAUACUUGCAUUAAUAUAUUCAUUUACACUCAUUUAUGUUUGUGAUAAAGAAAAAUAACACGAUGUCUUUUGAAGAUGGCAUGACAGGUAAUAGGGAUGCAGGCCAUGUCAUGACUGGACGAGCCUUAAACUCUAAUCAUGUUGUAGAGGCAGUAAACAACGAUCUUAUUUUUAUAAAGGAAAUGUUUGUUGUUAAUUCUCUUUUUAAUUACGCUAUUUUUUGUGAAUGAUCAAUAUUUUUCUCUUAUAUUUAUGUAGGGAGUGUUUGGAAUGGCGCAACAAGGAUAUUGUAACAAUAAUAGUUGGCAAUGGAUGCAUCUAAGAGACACACAUCCACAUGCAAGCUUACCACUUCAAGGCAUGUUUCAACCGUGGAAUGUUACAACGUCUCAACAAAAGGAAUUCCUCUCAAAUGAUUUCUUAAUGUCACAGGAGGCUUCUUCAUUACAAAUGUUUGCAUCUCCGACAAUAACUACAAGCCAACAAGUUGUGAGUUCGUCAACAUCAAACAUUAUGAAGUAAUCGACAUUGUAAAAAGCAGUGGUUCACUAAGUAUUUUGAAGUUGCUAGUGUGAACUAAACAACGCAUCCUAAGCUUAAUUGGGCGAGGCCACGGAAAAAGAAACCUUCUUCUGCCAUGCAGCGUAAGUCCGUGCCUAUCCGCAACUUGUUUGUUGUAAAUUUUUCAUACGAAAUCACAGAUGAGGAUCUUAAGGAGUUUUUCAAUUCUGAUAAUGCCAAUGUUGUUUUUGCGAAAAUUAUAUUUCAUGAAAAUCCAAGGUCUGUUGGGUAUGGAUUUGUAUUCUCCAUUUCCAAUGAGGCUGAAGCUACUCUCACUGCUUUUGAAGGAAAGGUAUGUUUUGGAGAAGUUACUCGUGCUUGCCUAAUUUGUUCUAUAAGAUGUCAUUUCCCUAUAUUGUGCUGCUUAUCUUCUUUUAUUUAUUUAUUUGUCGGUUCAAAGCAUAUUAGACUUUAUCUGCUGUGCAAAACUUUAUUCUUGAGCACCUGUUUUAUAACAGUUAUGUAUGGGAAGACCAAUUUGAGUGGCUCCUAGUAGAAAAUUUUUGAGACAAGCAACGAAAAUGAGUACUCAAUUGGCGAAUGCGUCAAAUAAACCAAACCCUGAUGCUGAACAAGCAGAAGCCCUUGAAGCUUGAUGGUGAAUUUUCUUGGACAGUUUAGGUUUUUCAGUGUUUUCUUUUGAGGUUGUAAAAGAUACUAAGAUAUGUGUAACCAGUUAUUUGUUUAAUUAAUGUAUGCCCCCACUCACCCAAAAAUUGGGGUGGGAGGACUCCUUUUACU